ensembl:rRNA rrn-4.16 5S ribosomal RNA
GCUUGAAAUACCCAGCUUUCCGAGGCCGUCUCUGAUCUGGCAAGUUGAGCAACGUUGAUUCCAGUUUGUACUUGGAUUGGAGGCGGCCUGAGAAUCCUGAAUGUUACAAGCU